rnacentral:misc_RNA from 1 species
GAGAAUUAUACGGUACCCCCACCCCAUCCUCGUGGCAAGAAUGAUACUGAUUUUAUGAAUGCUUAUGUAAUAAAUGGCUAGUUAUAUCAGCAAAAAAAUAAAAAGAAAAGAAAGUAUGAUAAAGUAUUCACUGGAAAAAAAUUUGAAUAAAAUUUGCAGUGGGUGUGGUGGAUGUGGUGCAGUGAUAACAACAGCUAAUGCAUAAAAACUCUUAUGCAAUAAUUAAAAUGGCUAGAAUUUUUUAAUGG